AUUGAACGCUGGCGGCAGGCCUAACACCUGCAAGUCGAACGAGUGGCGGACGGGUGAGUAAUGUCUGGGAACCUGCCUGAUGGAGGGGGAUAACUACUGGAAACGGUAGCUACUACCGCAUACCCUCGGAUGUGCCCAGAUGGGCUUAGCGAGUAGGGGGGGUAACGGCUAACCGAGGCGACGAUCCCUAUCUGGUCUGAGAGGAUGACCAGCAAACAUGGAACUGAGACACGGGCCAUACUCCUACGGGAGGAAGCAGUGGGAAAUAUUGCACAAUGGGCGCAAGCCUGAUGCAGCCAUGCUGCGUGUAUGAAGAAGGCCGUCGGGUGGUAAAGUACUUUCAGCGGGGAGGCGUUACCCGCAGAAGAAGCACCGGCUAACUCCGUGCCAGCAGCCGCGGUAAUAC
rnacentral:rRNA from 1 species